rnacentral:rRNA from 1 species
UACGGGGGGAGCAAGCGUUGUUCGGAUUUACUGGGCGUAAAGGGCGCGUAGGCGGCCAGCACAAGUCAGUUGUGAAAUCUCCGGGCUUAACUCGGAAAGGUCAACUGAUACUGUGCGGCUAGAGUGCGGAAGGGGCAACUGGAAUUCUCGGUGUAGCGGUGAAAUGCGUAGAUAUCGAGAGGAACACCUGCGGCGAAGGCGGGUUGCUGGGCCGACACUGACGCUGAGGCACGAAGGCCAGGGGAGCAAACGGG